rnacentral:rRNA from 1 species
CCUACGGGUGGCUGCAGUGGGGAAUAUUGGACAAUGGGCGAAAGCCUGAUCCAGCCAUGCCGCGUGUGUGAAGAAGGCCUUCGGGUUGUAAAGCACUUUCAGUGGGGAAGAAAGCCUUGGGGCUAAUACCCUCGAGGAAGGACAUCACCCACAGAAGAAGCACCGGCUAACUCCGUGCCAGCAGCCGCGGUAAUACGGAGGGUGCGAGCGUUAAUCGGAAUUACUGGGCGUAAAGCGCGCGUAGGCGGUCUGAUAAGCCGGUUGUGAAAGCCCCGGGCUCAACCUGGGAACGGCAUCCGGAACUGUCAGGCUAGAGGGCAGGAGAGGAAGGUAGAAUUCCCGGUGUAGCGGUGAAAUGCGUAGAGAUCGGGAGGAAUACCAGUGGCGAAGGCGGCCUUCUGGACUGACACUGACGCUGAGGUGCGAAAGCGUGGGUAGCAAACAGGAUUAGAUACCCCUGUAGUC